rnacentral:rRNA from 1 species
GUAACACAUGAUCAACUUGCCCUAUAGAGAAAACUAAGCUCGGGAAACUGAGGAUAAUGUUUCAUAGCUGAAUUGGCUUGGAAAAGUUUUUCAGCAAAAGGGAUAAAAAAAAUGGUUUUUAUCUGCUAUAGGAUAGGAUCGUGUUCGAUUAUGGUUGUUGGUGAGGUAAUGGCUCACCAAGCCGAUAAUCGAUAGGGGCCGUGAGAGCGGGAGCCCCGAGAUGGGUACUGAGACAACGACCCAGGCCUUACGAGGCGCAGCAGGCGCGAGACCUCCACAAUACACGAAAGUGUGAUGGGGUUACCCAAAGUGUUCAACUUUGAACUGUGGUAGGUGAGUAAUGUUCCCUACUAGAAAGGAGAGGGCAAGGCUGGUGCCAGCCGCCGCGGUAAAACCAGCUCUUCAAGUGGUCGGGAUAAUUAUUGGGCUUAAAGUGUCCGUAGCCGGUUUAGUAAGUUCCUGGUAAAAUCGGGUAGCUUAACUAUCUAUAUGCUAGGAAUACUGCUAUACUAGAGGGCGGGAGAGGUCUGAGGUACUACAGGGGUAGGGGUGAAAUCUUAUAAUC